GCUAGCAUGGCAUAGUGGUUUGAAUAUCAGACUAUGACUCUGGAGACUAGGGUUCGAUUCCUAGCUCAGCC